UUUAAACUAAAGUAACAAAAUUGACCAAACCACAGGGACCAAAAUCACAGUUUAGUCAAUAAAAAAAGAAGGGUUGAUUUUUGUUUAUAGUCAACCGGUUAGGGGACCCUCUCACACAUCACAUGCCGCGUUUUAAAGACCAAUUCCUCGAAUUUUCCCCUCACCUUUUAAAGUCCAAAGCCAUUACCCAUUUAACCACUGAAAAAUCACACCAGUCAUCGUCUCGGACCACAGGAGCUCGUCAACGUCACUGCUACCAUGAGAGUCAAGAAUUUCUGACUAUAUCCAAAUUUUCACCACAAGUCUGAGUCAUUGAGCUUGAAAUAUAACCAUCUGUUGGUCAAAAGAUUUGGCUAUUACCCACAGAUCGGAGUUCUUCAAUGGCUGAAUUAUUAGGAGCUGCGUUAGGAGAAGCCUUUUCUGAACUAUCAGAUGUGAUCAAACACGUGAUAACAAAAACAUUGCAUUUUAAAUCCGAACUCAAGGAAAUGCAAGCAAAUAUACAGAGAAUGGGGCCUAUCUUCGAGGAUAUGGAGAAACUAAACAAAGAACUGGAUCGGCGGAAAAUGGAAACGGAGCGGAUCAUGAUUCUGUUCAAGAAAGCAGACGAGCUCGUCCGGAAAUGUGAGAAUGUCAAAUGGGAUUUUCAUAACAGAUACCGCCAUGCUUCCAAGUUGGACGAAAUGAAUAAAUCGUUGGUGAAGUAUGUGAAUUAUGACCUUCAGUUUCAGAUUGCGAGGAAUGGAGCUGAAACGUUGGUGGAGCUGAGACGUUUGACGAAAGGGUAUGAGAAAGAGAGUCCAAGUGGUGUCCCGUUGGAAAAGUGUGUUGCUAUAGGAUUUGAUGAUCAGCUUAGGAAGUUGAAGCUCAGGAUUCUUCAAACGGUGAUUGCUCGGUUGUAGUUGUUUCGGCUGCAGGAGGGUGUGGGAAGACCACUCUUGUAACAAUGCUCUGCCAUGAUCCUGAUAUUAAAGAAAAAUUUGGUGAAAACAUCUAUCAUGCUGUAAUCCCAGAGAAAUACAACAUAAAAGUCAUCAUACAAAAAUUACUUAGGAGGAACCAACCGCACGAUUUUUAUAGUGAUGAAGAUGCGUUCCUGCAGUGGGGGCGCUUUUUGGCGAAUAAAUCUGAAAUACUAUUAGUACUUGAUGACGUACGGUCUGAAUCCAUUAUUGAGAAAUUCAUGUUCAAGUCACCCGGAUACAGGAUUCUGGUCACAUCUCGGGAGGGUUUUAGACGAUUCAAUCGGUAUGAACUUCAACUUUUGAACGAUCAAGAUGCCACCAGUCUAUUCCACCGCUCAGCAUUUUCAGAACAUAGUAAGAUUAGUAUACCAGAUGACCUUGUUGUCAAGUUGGUCAAGUGUUGCAAGAAUCAUCCACUGGCUCUUAGAGUGAUUGGUGGUUCGCUAAAUGGGAAACAACUGCCAAGCUGGAUAAUAAUGGCGGAAAAGCUGUCUAAAGGGAGUAAAUUGAUUCACAAGUCUAUACAAGAGUGUUUAGAAAAGAGUUGCUAUCUUUUCGAUGAAGAACCUGAAAUCAAACAUUGUUAUAUGGACUUGGGAUUAUUUCCUGAAGAUCAGAAGAUAGCUACUACAACACUUAUGGACAUGUGGGCCCAUUUGUACAACCAUGACGAUGAUACGGGAUUGACUACCAUGGUCAGCAUUGAUACGCUUUCUUCUAGAAACCUUGCAACUUGGUUGCCCCAAAGGAAACAUAUACCGGCUGUUGCCCACCAUUGUGAGGAAGAAUUUGUUACACAACAUGAUAUGAUGAGGGAAUUGGCUAUUCAUUUAAGCGAAAAAGAGUCAAUAGAACAAAGAGAAAGGUUAAUUAUAAAUACGGAUGGACAAGAUCUUCCUCAGUUGCCCCAAAUUGUCAACGCCCGUGUAUUGUCAAUUACCACAGGCGCGACGAUAGAUGAAAGAUUCUAUUCAACACGGAAUGAAGUUCAAGCCCCUAAAGUGAAAGUUUUUGUAUUGAAUUUCAUGUCAAAUGCGAAUCCCUUUCCACGCUUUAUGCACAACAUGAAGAGUUUGAAGGUUUUAAUAAUCACAAACUACGGAUAUCACUUCUCAGAGAUUCAGAAUUUCCCUGCACUAGAGCAUCUGUCUGGUUUAACUAAAAUUAGGUUGGAUCAUGUUUCAAUAUCUUCAAUUAGUGAAACCAUACUAAUGUUGGAGAACCUGCGGAAAUUGUCCUUGAUCAUGUGCAAAAUAGGAAGCAAUUUUAAUAAAGAUUUCCCCAACAAGUUGACCAACCUUUUGGAGAUUGAUAUUGAAUCUUGUGAUGAUCUAGUUACAUUUCCUGCAAGUUUAUGCAACUUAAAAUGCCUUAAAAAACUCAGCAUCACCAAUUGCCAUAGGCUGACCUCACUUUCUGUUGACUUUGGAAAUUUAUCAAAUUUGGAAGUUUUGCGGCUUGCCUCAUGCACAGAGCUCCCAACAUUACCUGAAUCAAUAACAAACCUUAAGAAUUUAAGAAUCAUUGAUCUAUCCCAGUGUUUAAACCUCUGCGAGUUGCCAGCGCAUAUAGGUGAGUUGGAUACUCUAGAGACAAUUGAUGCAACGGGUUGCACGGGUUUGGAUGAGCUACCAAAAUCAAUCAAGGAUUUUGAUUUUGAUAAAGUGGAAGUGUUUUGCGAUGAGGAGGCCUUUACCUUAUGGAAUGAUUUCAAGAAUCUAAAAGUAAAGAUGGUAGAAAAGGAUCCACUUGAUACCUUUCUCAAGAUCAUCGGAUAACUUAUUAAUGUUGAAUCACAUAACCAACCUAGUCACAUUGAGUUUCUUUUAUAUUUACCGAAUCUUUAAGGAAUAAAUUGGUGGUUAGACCACAAGUCUUUGUUGUUGAGGGGUUGUUCCAGUAAAGAUAUUUGAAGAGCUGAAGUUGAUUUAAGAAUUCUUAAACUUGUGUGAGAUAUUGAGGAUUUGACUCAUGGCUUUUUGUAUUGGAUCAGAUAUGAAUUGUUUACUUAGAAUUUUAAUGUUAUCCCUACAAUUCAUAUGUUGUUAAUGGUCAUUUAGGUUGUUAACUUGACCCCAACUGUAUUGGGACAGUCGAAUCAAAACAUAGAAACCAUGGUUGUUCA